rnacentral:rRNA from 1 species
GACGAACGCUGGCGGCGUCGCCGUAAGUACAUGCAAGUAGAACGCUGAGGACUGGUGCGUUGCGACUAGGGUCUAAGGAGUUGCGAACGGGUGAGUAACGCGUAGGUAACCUACCUCAUAGCGGGGGAUAACUAUUGGAAACGAUAGCUAAUACCGCAUGACAAUAGGGUACACAUGUACCCUAUUUAAAAGGGGCAAAUGCUUCACUAUGAGAUGGACCUGCGUUGUAUUAGCUAGUUGGUAAGGUAACGGCUUACCAAGGCGACGAUACAUAGCCGACCUGAGAGGGUGAUCGGCCACACUGGGACUGAGACACGGCCCAG